UGUGGGCAUGGGUGUGUGCGUGCGUGAGAAAGAGUAGGAAGGGGGAAACCUUUCUUCUUCAAGCUUUGCAAGAAAUACAACAAAUUAAGGAGAAUUAAGGCUAGGUUUUUUAUGCAUGUGCUUAGAUUAAAGACCCCUUAAGUGUUCUUAACAUCAAGAGCCAUGUCAACAUGGACACGAGCAUGGAAGGGCAAUGGGUCAAAGGUAAAUACGGAAGCUAUGCACGAACUCGGACACACGAGGUAGCGUUAGUUUAUCGAGCAUGAUGAUGAUUGAGGUUUGAUAUGGUUUUGGUUGUAUAAAAUCGGUAACUUUUACUACGUAGACCAAACGGGUCAAAACAAGAUUGUAAUGUUAUGUCGGAAUAAUGCUUAAGUAAUGGGUGCGGUUUUCUAACCGGGUAAUGGGUAGAAUUUCAUAUAAGAAUGUUAAUCGAGAAAUGGGGACGCUAAUGUAGACAAAAGACUCGGUUGUGAGUACUUGAAGGUGUUUGGAGUCGUGUUGAUUUAAAUAGUCUUAUUGUUGAUCCGAAGUUCUAUUUAUAGUUAAGGUGGUUUGAUACAAAUUAUUGAAUAUGGUUCAACUUAAUAAUAGCGUAUUGUCUUGACGAUGUUUUGGGGUUUAAACCCAUCAAAAAAAAAGAGUGCAAAUUGUUAAUGGGUCGAGAUACCCAAGUGCUGAAAAUUCAGCUUAUUUCCAGAUUUUUGCUAGUCUUUAAAAAUUCAUAGAAAAUCAACCGAAUGUCCGUUCGGGGCGUAUUUUAUAUCCACGGAAAGGUCUCGGAGUCACCGUUACUAAUAAUUUUAGUUUGAAGUGAAAUACUCACUGUAAAGAGGGAAAAAUACUGAAUUACUACAGCUGCAUAAAGCUGAGUGAAAAUCAUAAAUUUUAUAGUACUUGCAUAAUCUUAAGGAAUUUAUAAGGAAACAAUCGGAUGUGAUUAUGUUGUUGUUUUAAAACUCAAUGUAGUUAUGAAUAUUUACAUGAGUUAAAGUGAGUGAUUCCUUGAAUAUGGGAUGCUUAUGCUAAAUAAAAAAAAUCAUGUAGGUAUGGCUCGUUAAUUUCAAACAGCGCGAGAGCUUGUAUGUAUGUGUGCAUGUAUGAAUGCAUGUGUAUAUGUGUAGAGGUAUAUGAUUAUAUGCAUGUGGGAAUUUAGGAAUGUGAACAUGUGUGAAUGCGAGAUGUCAUUUAUGUAUGAAGGAAUGGUUCACUAUGUUUGGUUAUUGACGAAUACUAAUGAUUUGUCUUGAGAUUGGAAUGUAAUACAGGUAUGAAAACAUCAGGUUCAAGAAGUAUUGAAGUUAAACAUGGAACAGGAGAUAUCAAAUGGAUUAAGUUUAUAUUGUUGAAUGUUAUACGGAUUUUUAAUUGUAUGAUAAUAAUGUUAUAUGAUAUUGACGAUGAUUAAUGGUUAUGUUGUGAAUGAUGUCCACAGGUUUAUACGGAUUUCUUCUACCACGAAUGAAGAGAAGCGGACAUGGAUCGAGUUGAUAGCGAGGAUUGUACGGGAAAGAACGGUCACCUAGCUUGGAUUAUGUAACACUUGUAGAAUUAUUUUACCAUGAAUGUUGUUAAAUCAGUUAGUAAAUGUUAAACGUUUUGUGACUAAGUCUAUACGUAAGCAAUGUAUUUAGCAAAGUAAGAAAAAUUUUAAGGAUCGUU
rnacentral:lncRNA from 1 species